ensembl:lncRNA
GUUUUGUGAGGGGAAAGUUGGGGUUGGGAGGAGUAAAGCUCAGUUCGUGAAGGAAAAGUGGGUUUUGUGAGGGGAAAAGUGGAUUUUGUGAGGGCAAAUUUGGGUUUGGGGGGAGAAAAGUGGGUUUUGUGAGGGGAAAAGUGAGUUCUGUGAGUGAAACAUCAUUUUGAGGAGAAAAAGUGAAAUUUAGGGAGAAAAAGUUGAGUUUGUGAAGAGAAAGUUGGGUUUGGGAGGGAAAAAGUGGGUUUUGUGGGGGGAAAGUUAGGUUUGGAAGGGAGGAAGUGGGUUUUGUGAGGGGAAAAAGAAGGUUUUGUGAGGGAAACAUCAGAUUUUGAGGAGAGAAAGUGAGAUUUUAGGGAGGGAAGGGGCUUUGUGAGGAGAAAGUUGGGUUUGGGAAUGAGAAGGUGGGGUUUGUGAGGGAAAUGUUGGAUUUAGAGGAGAAAAGGUGAGAUUUGAGGAGGAAAACUGAGUUUUGUGAGGGGAAAGUGGGGUUUGUGAGGGAAAGGGUGAGUUUUAGGGAGGGAAAAGUUGAAUUUGUGAGGGAAAAGUCAGGUUUUGAAGAGAACAAAGAGAUUUGAGGGAGGAAAAGUUGGGUUUUGUGCAGGAAAAGUUGGGUUUUGUGCAGGAAAAGUGAGUUUUGGGGAGGGAAAAGUGAGUGAAAAGUUGGGGUUGUAAGGGAAAAGUGGGGGAAGAGUGGGUUUGUGAGGGAAAAGGGGUUUUGUGAGGAGGAAAAGUGAGUUUUAGGGAUGGACAGCUGAAUUUUUGGGAAGAAAAAAUUGGUUUCUGAGGAGAAAAAGUGAAUUUUGGGGGGGAAGAGGUACUUUUCUGAGGUAAAAAGUUGGUAUUUUGGGGAGAAAAUGUAGUUUCAGGAAGAGAAAGUUGCUUUUUUGGCAAUGAAAGGGGAUUUUCUGAGGAAAAAAAUAGAUGGGAGGAAGAAAAACGUGGGUUUAUUGAGGGGAAAAGUUGUUUUCUGAGGGGAAAAAAGUGGUUUUAGGGAGGGAAAGUUAUUUUUUGAGGGGGAAAAAGGGUUGUUUUUAGGAGGAAAAUAAUUAGUUUGGGGAAGGAAAGUUUGUUUAUUUUGGGGAAAAAAAACAUUUUGAGAGGGGAAAGUGAGUUUUUUGAGGAGAAAGAAGCUGUUUUUUGAGGAAAAAAAACCCAAGUUUUAAGGAGGAAGGUUGCCUUUUUGGGGAGGAAGUGUUCAUUUUUGGAAGGGAAAGUUGGUUUUUGAGGGUGAAAGUUGCUUUUUGGGGAAGGAAGGCUGGUUGUCUGAAGAAAGAAGUUAGCUUCCGGAGGGAAAGCUGUUUCUCUGGGAAGGAAAGUUGUAUUUUGAGGCAAAAAAAAAGAUGAGUUUGGGGGAAGAAGAGUUGCUGUUUGAGGGGGAAAAUGUCAGUUUUUGAAUGGAAGCUGCUUUUUGAGGGAGAAAGUUGCUUUUGGGGCAGUUACGAUCUGAGAACGUUACUAUUAUGGAGGGCACUUGUCCCCAAAUGUCCCUCAUUGUGCCCAAGUGUACCUGGUGUACCAUGUGGUCUCAAGUGUCCCCGGCCUCCCCGCUACCUCCCGUUGUCCCACGUUGUCCCCAGCAUCCUUGAGUGUCCCCAGGUGUCCCUGUCUGAAGCAGAGUGACCACCAUCCAAGCUGCAGUGUCACCACAUGGCCACUACAGGGACACUCAGGCGGCUCCCAGCCCACUGCCCGCUCCAUGGGGCAGCCACCACGUGUGCCACCAAGGUGUCCCCAACCCUCCCACAGCACCAAGGGGCAGGACUGGUGUCCCAUAGGGCCACCCAUGACCUCCACGUGUCCCAUAGGGCCACCCAUCAUCUCCAUGUGUCCUCCAUCACACCCAUAGGGCCACACAUGAGGAUGGGGGUAUGGAUAGGGAUGGGAAUGGAACAGGGACAGUGGCAGUGAUAGCAGCUACAUGGAAUAAAAUAUAGGGGGCGGGGCCUAUGCUUAAGGGGCG